CUGGAACAGGGUUUUCCCGCAAGGGACGGGAGUCGAGGUGCUGCAUGGCUGUCGUCAGCUCGUGUCGUGAGAUGUUGGGUUAAGUCCCGCAACGAGCGCAACCCUUGUCCUGUGUUGCCAUGCCGAAAGGCGGAACUCGCAGGAGACCGCCAGCGAUAAGCUGGAGGAAGGUGGGGAUGACGUCAAGUCCUCAUGGCCUUUAUGUCCAGGGCUACACACGUGCUACAAUGGCCGGUACAAAGCGUCGCUAAGUCGCGAGACGGAGCCAAUCGCAGAAAACCGGUCUCAGUUCGGAUUGCAGGCUGCAACUCGCCUGCAUGAAGCUGGAAUCGCUAGUAAUGGCAGAUCAGCACGCUGCCGUGAAUACGUUCCCGGGCCUUGUACACACCGCCCGUCACAUCACGAAAGUGGGUUGUACUAGAAGUCCGCAGGCUGACCCGCAAGGGAGGCAGCGGCCCAAGGUAUGACUCAUGAUUGGGGUGAAGUCGUAACAAGGUAACCGU
rnacentral:rRNA from 1 species